AAAAUUUUGGACACUUUUUUUUGUCUGAAAUUAAAAUUGUCCAAAAUUUUUUUGUAAGUAAGCUAGCUUCAAUAGAAGAGACUGCAGUAUCUCCACUCCCUACUGGUUGGACCUAUUCUUUUACGGGGUUACCCCAUUCCAUUCAAGGUUACCAUAAUUCGUGAACAUGAUUUGGACACUCCCAUUUAGAGGUCAUAAAAAUUUGUCAAUUCCUUUUUUCUUUUAAAUUCUUGGUGCAGUUUGGUAGCUAGCUCUGUAAGCUUUAAUUUGAUAUAGGGUAUUUGGUGAUUCCCAUUUAUAAGUAAAGUAAAGUAUCUUGCCCAAGAGCACAUUACAUUUAUGCAGGCAGCCUUCCAAAGACAUUUCUCUCACAGUUUCUCUGCCAAGUGAAUGACUUGUGGUAGUAACAAUAUUCUCACUCCAGGGAACUACCAUCUGUAGGAUUAGAAUGUAAUAUCACUUGAAGGAGCAGAAUGAUGUGCCCUGUACCUAGUGGUGUAACGAUUAAUCGAAUUUUCGAUUAAUCGUGAUUAUGACCAUUCAGUUUGCCUCACGAUUCUUUGAUUCCAAGUUUCGGUUUUGGUUCGAUUUUUUGCAUACCUUUCUCGGAGUGCCCUCAGUGAGUUAUUAUAUUGUGAAAUCAGAAUCCAGAACUCUUUAAAAUGUGCGUUUUUGAUUGAGGAGUAAAGACGUUUGCAGUUUGUGAGCCAUUUUGUGUUGCGUGGUAAAAAUGUUGCCCUUCUAACACCCCUUGAGAAUUUCCAAAUAAGGCAAACCAUGUGCGACACGCUCAUUGUAUCUUUAAAUUGAGGGUUUAGGGUUGUUUACAUUGUGUAUCAUAUUGUAAGAAUUAAAAAAACAUUAAUAUUUUGCAUAAUCGAAUUGAAAUAAUUGAAAUCAAAAGGCAAUAAUCAAAAUUGAAUCAAAUCACAAGGAAUAUGAGGCAUUACACCCCUACCUGUACCCAACAUUGCAUGUUACAAAUGUCUGAUGUUCUAAUGUCUCUAUAGGCCGUCCUGCUGGAAACCAAAGUUGGAAAUUCAAGAUGCGAAGCGUCAACCCAUCAUGAUGAUCAAUGGCCCAUGCUGUUUUUGCAGCUGUGGAUCAGAUGUUGAAUUCCCUAUCCACUCUCUAGAUGGAGGGAGUGAAAUUGGAAUGAUAACCAAACAGUGGAUGGGAUUUACACGAGAGGUCUUUACUGAUGCUGCAAACUUUGGAAUUCGCUUUUCCAGUCACACAAUGGAGACUACACAGGCAGAAGUCUGGAACUAUUAUUGUUGGCACAGUCAAAGCCUGCAUGUUAUAGUCUUCCAUCCUUAUUAAUUUCCUGCUUAUUGUAUGGCUGCGGAAAAUUGAGUCAGUGUUUGGCAGAUGUGAAGCAUCAGACAAUAACCUCUGUCAAUAUCUCUAUUAUUUUUUAGUCUUGAUCAGUGAUCCUAUAACUACAGAAAUGCCAGUGUAAAAAAAUGCAGUCACAGACAAUACCAACUUAAAGUUACUUCAUAAAACAACCCAAAAUAUUACCCUGAAAAUGCCAAAAAUCGGCCGAGAAUUACAUGAAAAAAAAUUUACAAUGAGUGCUUUCUUUUGUAUCUGGGAGAUUUGGUAACCCAUACUGGAAACCAGGAGAUUUGGUCUGUAGACUCCCAGAUACAUCAGGGAGUGUUGGCAUAGAUGCUACCACAUUAAAAAUUGCCUAUGGAUUUGUGCCUCAUUAAACAUAUGUUAUAAAUCAUUACUCAAUAUUUAAAUAUUAUAUUUUUAAUUCU